rfam:Fusarium poae strain 2516 chromosome FPOA_1 Chr1, whole genome shotgun sequence.
GCCCUUGUAGCUCAGUGGUAGAGCGUUGCACUUGUAAUGCAAAGGUCCAUUGUUCAAUCCAGUGCGGGGGCA